UACGGAGGGUGCGAACGUUGCUCGGAAUCAUUGGGCGUAAAGCGCACGUAGGCGGCGAAGAAAGUUGGGUGUGAAAGCCCUGGGCUCAACCCAGGAAGUGCAUUCAAAACUACUUUGCUUGAAUCUCGGAGGGGGUCAGAGAAUUCCCGGUGUAGAGGUGAAAUUCGUAGAUAUCGGGAGGAAUACCAGUGGCGAAGGCGGCUCACUGGCCCGGUACUGACGCUGAGGUGCGAAAGCGUGGGGAGCAAACAGG
rnacentral:rRNA from 1 species